AGGCCUGUUUUCCAAGUUUCGUCCUGUUGACGACCUGUUACCCCCUGUUUUUUCCUGUUGUUGGGUUGCCGCAAAUAUUGGACCCGUUUAUCCAACUCUACCAUGGGCAACCUACUUGUGAUGUGGACCUGAACCUCCGCCAUGUAGCAGACAACCCCCCUCAGGUCUUGCGGAGUAUCCUUCCCAAGUGGCGUGGAUGUGAAGAGACACGACAGUUCCCCUGAUGUACCAUGGCAUGGGCGACCUACUUGUGAUGUGGACCUGAACCUCCGCCAUGUAGCAGACAACCCCCCUCAGGUCUUGCGGAGUAUCCUUCCAAAGUUGCGUGGAUGUGAAGAGACAC